UACAGAGGUCUCGAGCGUUGUUCGGAUUCAUUGGGCGUAAAGGGCGCGUAGGCGGCGGGGUAAGUCUGGUGUGAAAUCUCGGGAGCUUAACUCCGAAACUGCAUUCGAUACUGCCGUGCUUGAGGACUGGAGAGGAGACUGGAAUUUACGGUGUAGCGGUGAAAUGCGUAGAUAUCGUAAGGAAGACCAGUGGCGAAGGCGGGUCUCUGGACAGUUCCUGACGCUGAGGAGCGAAAGCCAGGGGAGCAAACGGG
rnacentral:rRNA from 1 species